UUGCAUAUCAAAAAGCGGAGGAAAAGAAACCAACAGGGAUUGCCCUAGUAACGGCGAGUGAAGCGGCAACAGCUCAAAUUUGAAAGCUGGCUCCGGCCCGCAUUGUAAUUUGCAGAGGAUGCUUCUGGUGAGGUGCCUUCCGAGUUCCCUGGAACGGGACGCCAUAGAGGGUGAGAGCCCCGUAUGGAUGGACACCAAACCUGUGUGAAGCUCCUUCAACGAGUCGAGUAGUUUGGGAAUGCUGCUCUAAAUGGGAGGUAAAUCUCUUCUAAAGCUAAAUACCGGCCAGAGACCGAUAGCGCACAAGUAGAGUGAUCGAAAGAUGAAAAGCACCUUGAAAAGGGGGUUAAACAGUACGUGAAAUUGUUGAAAGGGAAGCGCUUGUGACCAGACUUGCGCCGGGCAGCUCAUCAGGGGUUCUCCCCUGUGCACUCUGCCCGGCUCAGGCCAGCAUCGGUUCUCGUGGGAGGAUAAGAACGGUUGGAACGUGGCCCCCCUCCGGGGGGGUGUUAUAGCCUACCGUACGAUACUCCCGUGGGGACCGAGGUUCGCGCUCCGCAAGGAUGCUGGCGUAAUGGUCAUCAGCGACCCGUCUUGAAACACGGACCAAA
rnacentral:rRNA from 1 species